UUUGCUCAUCCCUGCAGACGACUGGCUAGGAUCAAGUGUACUAUCUGUUCUUAUCAGUUUAAUAUCUGAUAACAUUUAAAUUUUGAGGAUGAGAAAACUGAGUUUGCUCAGCCUUG
rfam:Calypte anna contig53305, whole genome shotgun sequence.